rnacentral:tRNA from 1 species
GAGGGUCUAGCUAAGUGAUAGAGCACGCACUUAGCAUGCAGGAGGUCCUGGGUUCAAUUCCCAGUACCUCCA